AUCUACCACCCGUACACUCCGGCUCUGAGCGCGCGGUCCACACCCACGUGACAACUGCUCGCUGCGGUUUUUAGCC
rnacentral:sRNA from 1 species